rnacentral:rRNA from 1 species
AUUGAACGCUGGCGGCAUGCCUUACACAUGCAAGUCGAACGGUAACAGGUCUUCGGAUGCUGACGAGUGGCGAACGGGUGAGUAAUACAUCGGAACGUGCCCGAUCGUGGGGGAUAACGGAGCGAAAGCUUUGCUAAUACCGCAUACGAUCUACGGAUGAAAGCAGGGGACCGCAAGGCCUUGCGCGGACGGAGCGGCCGAUGGCAGAUUAGGUAGUUGGUGGGAUAAAAGCUUACCAAGCCGACGAUCUGUAGCUGGUCUGAGAGGACGACCAGCCACACUGGGACUGAGACACGGCCCAGACUCCUACGGGAGGCAGCAGUGGGGAAUGUUGGACAAUGGGCGAAAGCCAGAUCCAGCCAUGCCGCGUGCAGGAUGAAGGCCUUCGGGUUGUAAAAUGCUUUUGUACGGAACGAAAAGACUCUUUCUAAUAAAGAGGGUCCAUGACGGUACCGGAAGAAUAAGCACCGGCUAACUACGUG